CGAAUUAUCUCGUGUAGACAUUUUAUAGACAGUUCAAUUAAUCGGGAACAAGUUUGGUCCUUCGAGCCGGAUCUGCUGACAAAAGAACGAGAAAUUCGCGACUUUUGUUGUGAAUGUGCGAGCAAAUAUGGCGCUUAGUACGAGUGGACAACAACAAGACUUGCCGGGAGAAGAGACAGACAAAGGUGUUGAAGCUGUAAACAGUAUUCAAAAUGUUCAUCUCGCCGACCACGAAAGUAAAAAAGAAGAAAAUACAUUGAAUAUAGAAAGCAAACAAGUGAGUACCAAGAUUCAAACUUUACGAAGUUGUAGGAAAUCGGCUAAAACCAGGCUGACAAAAGCUAAGAAACAAUUGAACGACCUAAUUGAAAAACAACUUCCUGGUGUACCAUUGCCGAGUAAAAAUGCCAUAAGAAGAGCUAUUAAUAAAGUUAAUUCCGAGAUCAGUAUUAUUGAAAAAAUUAUUUCUGGCUUAAAAGAGAUUUAUGCUGUGAGUGCUGAAAAUGAGGAGACCAACACAGUUAUCGAGACUUUAGACAAAGAACUUGAAGAUAUCGGGUCUUCAGUCGAUUCAAUAAUUGUAAUGGCUGAACAACAUCUCGAGGAAAGACUUGGCAAUGGAGAAACUGACUCAGUGUUAACUUCACUUCGAUCACAAGAAACUAGUCCCCAGUCCCCAGUUAUGUCGAAAAAAUCCUCAAAUGUGGAACAGAAACAAAAAGAGGCAAAGAAGGCUAGUGAAAGGCUAAUCCAAAUGGAAAACGAACAGCGAGUAAAGGAGCUAGAGAUCCAAAAGCUGACCGCUGAGCUUCAGCUGACAAAACAGCGAACCGAUGAUGCAAGGAAAGUUGCUGCUCUCAACAAAUCCCGGGCUGAAGAAGCCGAACGAAGAUCGCAAGUAUCGGAUAAUGAUACAGUACAGAACUUCCAUCCUUCCUUCCUUCGGAGAAAAAAUGCUUAGACUACAAGCUGUUUGUCGGGUAAAGCUUUAACCAUGGUGAAAGAUCUUGGGUAUUCCCUUAAUGCGUAUGAAAGAGCGAAGGCUAAAUUGGAGAAGAAGUACAGAGGAGAGAGACGUUUACAGAUAAAACACCUAACAGCUUUGCGCAAUUUCCGGAAAAUUCGUCCUCGAAAUCUGGAAGAUAUGGAAGAGUUUCAAGUUCUAUUAGAAAGAGUAUUUUUUUUUAUUAACUUUACAAUCAUAUUAUAUAAACAGAACUAGAAUCCCAUAUUAAGUCCAUGCAUCUAACACUAAAACACGACAUAUUACGGACUGCAAACUGGACAACGUAAAUACUGAUUUUACAGGCCUUUAUACUAUAUAAAACAUGCAAGAAUAAAUACAUAACUACAC